UCCAUCGUGAGGUGGAAUCUGAAGGAUAAGCCGUGCUGAUUCUUCGAAUCAGCUUGGCAAAGCGCUGGCCUGACGAAAAGAAACCGCAUAGGAGGCAGCCACACCUGGAUGAGAAGGCUAAUAUCUUUAAAGUCCCGUACCUGCACGGAAGGGGUGGUUGUAUAUGCGGUGGGCAUAAGCGUGGAGGUGGGUGCG
rfam:Spirochaetes bacterium DG_61 WOR1_52_54_25877, whole genome shotgun sequence.